GCGCACGCUGGCGGCAGGCCUAACACAUGCCAGUCGAACGAACCUUUCGGGGUUAGUGGCGGACGGGUGAGUAACACGUGGGAACGUGCCUUUAGGUUCGGAAUAACUCAGGGAAACUUGUGCUAAUACCGAAUGUGCCCUUCGGGGGAAAGAUUUAUCGCCUUUAGAGCGGCCCGCGUCUGAUUAGCUAGUUGGUUGAGGUAAUGGCUCACCAAGGCGACGAUCAGUAGCUGGUCUGAGAGGAUGAUCAGCCACAUUGGGACUGAGACACGGCCCAAACUCCUACGGGAGGCAGCAGUGGGGAAUCUUGCGCAAUGGGCGAAAGCCUGACGCAGCCAUGCCGCGUGAAUGAUGAAGGUCUUAGGAUUGUAAAAUUCUUUCACCGGGGACGAUAAUGACGGUACCCGGAGAAGAAGCCCCGGCUAACUUCGUG
rnacentral:rRNA from 1 species